UCACCAACACUGUAACCCGUGUUUUCCCAAAUUUUACUCUUGGUUUCUCUCAAAAAUGGCAACACAAACUUCCCCUUCUCUCUUCGGUUCCUUCUCCCUAUGAACAACAAAAUCUUCUUCUUCCUCUUCGUUUCUCUCUCUCGCACAAUAACAACACAUCAAACCCCAGCAACCCCAAACCAUUCCUCUCACUUCAAAUCAAAUCAAUAACAUAUGUUCAAUAAUCAUGCAAGCAUACGAAUCACAAUAUUGCAAGGCUAAGCAUGUACGAAGUUGGAUGAACCCGGUUCAAGGUUUUUUUGCGUUUUGCGGCAACGGAUCUCAGCACCUCUCCGAUUUUUCGUCCCCCCUCUUUCGUUCUAGGUUAAGAUUUCGUUUUAUAGCAUUAGGUUUUGAUUCAAUUAGGAAAUUAGAGAUUUGAUUUUGUUGUUAAUUCAGAGAUUCUAUUCAGAUUUGUUAUAAACUUGAUUUGUGUAAAUUUGACAUAAGAUUUGAUUUUCUUUAUAUUCUUUGAUGUCUGUUUUGAUUUUUA